AAAGAGGGUCAGAGCGCGCGCCUGGGGCAAGCCGAGCCACCGGGAGCCUAACGCAGGUGUGUCUGAGGACAUCAGGAGUGUUUACUGUGUCCCGCUUUGUGGAGCAGAGUGAGAAGGAGUGCGGCGCGGCCUGGAGCUGUGCACACUGCAGGGUUUGGACGGUACUGUCUCAUCAACCUGAGACUCAGGCAGCGUUUGGAAGCACAGAGAUCUUCGACCUUUUAGAAUGAACAAUAAAAUGACGUGCGGCUUGCACGUUUGCGUUUUUCAAAUAAAGAUAAAAAUUAAAUGUUUUCUUCAAUACUAUAUAGGCCAAUCAUGGAGCCCGACAGCCCUGAAAAGAAAGGUACAAGUCUGGACCCCUGAUCAGAUGGAGGCCUCAUUGUGGAGAUUAAAACAAAGGAAACGGAUGGAAAGAUGGAAGGGGACCUCCUCACGGCUGUUCUGUGUGACAGAGAACCCUAACAAAUGGUGACCAGUCUACACUACUGAUGUCAUCUCUGAUUAUAAGAGUUACCUACACUGAUGACACACUGAACAAAGCUACUGAUGAACGCAUGUUUCAAUAGUUUGUACGCAGAACCAGUAAGUCACUCCACACAUCCCUCCUUCACCAAUUCAUAGACCACCAUCGGACUUCUCAACAUUGCCGGAUUUGAGCUCCUUGAGUUUUGAGCAGUUGUGCAUCAAUUUCACAACUGACAAACUCCAGCCAUUUUUAAACCAGCACAUAUUCAUCUUAGAAAAGGAGGAAUAUAACAGAUGGGAUUGAAUGGACUUUUAUUGACUUUGGCUUUGGACUACAUUGACUUCAUUGAGUAGGUUUUACACCAGAUGCCCUUCCUGACACAACCCUCCCCAAUCUAUCCGGGCUUGGGACCAGCGCUAAGUAUGCACUGUCUUGUACAACCCCAGUCGCUGGGUAUUUUACUCAAUCUGCAUGUCUUUGAACUGUGGAGGGAAACCAGAGCACCCAGAGGAAACCCACACAGACACGGAGAAUAUGCAAACUCCACCCAGAAAGGCCCCAUCAGCCAUGGGGUUCGAACCUGAAACCUCCUUGCUCUAAUGAAUCUUGAACCCUUCUACCAUUCUGAAGGACAAAUAAGACAAUGAGGCUGCAGAGAAACUUCUAAGCUUUCUGGAUAAUGAACACAUGCAAUACAGAGGAAAGUACUGUCCUGAGUGAGUGGCUUGGUUAAGCAGGCAAGACAGUCCAUUAGAGCAAAUGUAAAAGUCUCUGGAUUAAGAGUGACUUCCAGGCAGCACUGGAGGAACCUUUUGGGUUACAGAGGUCACUGGAGGAAGAUGAUGUACAAGAGACCUAAAUGAGAGCACAAAAACUAGUUCACCACCUACAAAGUAGCCAUUUCUCUCCCUUCAACACUAAUGUGACAUCAGCUUCAAUAUGUCAUCAAAACUAUAUUAUCUGAAAUGAAGGGAUCAAUCCAGUAUCAACAUAUAUCUAUCUUCUUAUCUAUAAAUAAGCAAGACACAUGAAGGCCAGGUAGCAUGAACAAAUGAAGAGAAUGGAGUUUGAGGAGUCUCUACAUCUGUGUGAAGACCUGAAGAAACAAGUAGCAGGAACAGAUCAUCAGAACAUCUUGCUGGCUCCUGAACUGGAAAAGCUCGAAAAAGUAAUUGAACAAAUCGGGCAAAUGUUCAAAGCCUGAUGAGAAACAAAGCUAGCACACAAAUACCACACAGGGAAGUAAUAAAACCAAUACUGAUCUGUCUGAGCGCUGAUGGUUGAUCGUGUGCCGAACCAGAAAAAGAAGGUGAAAAGUGAUAUCCCAGUGCUUGCAGUGAUGCAAGGAUGUCUGCAAUGGUCAGGAGAAGGCCAAGAAGCCCUACAAGCUGAAGAGUUAGUGUGUAGUGUCUCAUCUGAAAGCAUUCUGUCUUGCAAGCAUUAAAUAUCACAACUUCUAGGAAAGCACAGACAGUGUUCAUUAGUGUUUACAUCAGCGUGCAAAUGCAGGCUGCUUUAAUUGUGUAUAAGGUCGAAGUAAAGGACAAGAUCAACGUGACCCGCUUCAGAAAGAUCCACCACAGUGCAGAGGAGAGCAGACAUGGACGAGUCUCGAGCCCACCAACUGUGCCUUAGCACAACAGAGACACAUCAAGCUACAAGUGCUCCUAUAUUUAGAGCAGGUGACUUCAGACAGUGAUGAAGCCUGGUCCUGAUUAAAUUUUUGGUUUACACAUUGCUGUGGACAAGCAUUCUUAAUAUGGAGUUUACUUGUUAGCAGUGGGAGACAGAAAAAGAUCAUAGCAUUUGUGGUGCACAGUAGAAAUUUCAUAUACAGUACCAGUCACAAUUGACAGUUUGUAAUUCAAUGCUGUUUUUUUAAAUGAUUAAUUUAAAGGCACUUCAUGUCUUAAAAUAAUGGACUGUUGUUUCUCUUUACUUAGUUGAGCGGUUCUUGACACAAUAUGGAUUACUGCAGUUAUGGAAUAGGGCUAUUUACUGUAUGUUUAUUAUUUAUUAUAUACUGUUUGAUCUCAAAGACAUUAAGAAGGCAAGAAAUUGCACUAAUUAACUUUUGACAAGGCAACCUGUUAAUUGAAAAGCGUUCCAGGUGACUACCUCAUGAAGCUGGUUAAGAUAAUGCCAAGUGUGCAGAGCGUCAUGAAGGUAAACAGUGGCUACUUUGAAGAAUCUACAAUAUGAAGCAUAUUGUUGUUGCUGUUUUUAACAAUUUUUUUUGUUUCACACACAAUUCCAUAUGUCAUUUCAUAGUUUUGAUGUCUUCAGUAUUGUUGUACAACGUAGAACAUAGUCAAAAUAAAGAAAAAACCCAUGACUGGGUCGGUGUGUCCUAAUUUUUGACUGGUACUGUAGUAACACAAUGUUU